UGCUGGGUGAUCUGGCUGUGACAUCUGUCACCCCAUUGAUCGCCAGGGUUGAUUCAGUUGAUCUGGCUGGCUAGGCAGGUGUCACCUUCCUCCCUCACCACUCCAUGUGUGUCGCUCCUGAAGCUGCAUGCUGGGUCGAAGAGGACGACCUUCCCCGAAUAGAGGAGGACUGGUCUUCCAUCAAGGGUAUACGAGGAGCUGAGCUCCCCUGCUAGAACCUCCAAACAAGCUCUCAAGGUCUAAUUGGAGUUCUUUUUUUUUUUUAUUUUUGAGAUUAUGUUGGUGGAGGCCUCUUGUUUCAUUCCCAGCUGCUCAGGCCCAAAAGCCACAGC
rnacentral:snRNA from 1 species